rnacentral:rRNA from 1 species
UACGAAGGGGGCUAGCGUUGCUCGGAAUCACUGGGCGUAAAGCGCACGUAGGCGGCUUUCUAAGUCAGGGGUGAAAUCCCGGGGCUCAACCUCGGAACUGCCUUUGAUACUGCAAAUCUCGAGUCCGAUAGAGGUGGGUGGAAUUCCUAGUGUAGAGGUGAAAUUCGUAGAUAUUAGGAAGAACACCGGUGGCGAAGGCGGCCCACUGGAUCGGUACUGACGCUGAGGUGCGAAAGCGUGGGGGAGCAAACAGG